rnacentral:lncRNA from 1 species
CCCAGCCUGGAGGAACGCAGCUGUGAAACAAGCAAUGCAAACUGCACGUGCAGUGUUUCAACCACCGGAAACUAGACACGAUGCGGAACAGCUUCUGUGAGGAACCAGCCCUGGUGGAGCCUUCAUUUGGAAUUUCUAGUCCCUAGAACCACAAGGAAGUAAGAAGUCUGAGUCAAAAUAAAUGUCUUCCUUUGGAAAUUAUUUGGUCUUGGACACUCCGUUCUACAAACAGAAAAUGAUGAAGAUGGCUAAGUAGAGGUAUGACUGAUCCGAGUUUAUAAUUCUUACCCUGGGAGAGUGACAUCCCUCCUAAUCCUCUGGAGAACUGUAAACACUUGAUAAUUAAGACUUAGUUUCAACUGCAAGUUCUAACCUUAAAAGACAAUGGCCCGGUGUGUUUCAAAUGUAGGUUUGAAAUGUAGGCCACUACCUCCCACUUCCUAUAUUUAAAAUACAGGUUGUUGAACCUUU